AAUGAGGGAGAUGAUGUAUUUUAUUGUGAAUAUGAGUAUGAUGUCCAUUGGCACAAUUUCAAGCGUAUCACAGAUAUU